CCAAGAAGCCAAAUAGGACCAAAAUGUAAACCAUAUCGUGUGGUUUAUUGUUGGUUGGUUCCUCUCCUUGUGAUGACGCAUGCAUGCUGCCAUGUAUGUCAGGCAAUGGUUCCCUCUUUUUUUGGCUUCCGUCUGUUCCUUCAUCUUCAUUAUAUGCAUCUGUAAUGAAAAUUUCUAUCUUUAGAUGAAUGCACUCUGC
rnacentral:lncRNA from 1 species